GAUGAACGCUGACAGAAUGCUUAACACAUGCAAGUCUUUGGCGAAGCUGUGCUUGCACAGCCUAGCCAAGGCGGACGGGUGAGUAACGCGUAAGGAACUUGCCCUGCAGUCAGGGAUAACAGACGGAAACGACUGAUAAGACCUGGUAAAGUCAGGCGGACUCAUGUCCAGCCUGAUGAAAAGAGAUGCUGCAGGAGGGCCUUGCGUCCUAUUAGCUUGUUGGUGGGGUAACGGCCCACCAAGGCGAUGAUAGGUAGCCGGCCUGAGAGGGUGGACGGCCACAAGGGGACUGAGAUACGGCCCUUACUCCUACGGGAGGCAGCAGUGGGGAAUAUUGGACAAUGGGGGCAACACUGAUCCAGCAAUUCUGUGUGCACGAUGAAGGUUUUCGGAUUGUAAAGUGCUUUCAGCAGGGAAGAAAAAAAUGACGGUACCUGCAGAAGAAGCGACGGCUAAAUACGUG
rnacentral:rRNA from 1 species